CCAGAGGGUCGGGCGGCCGCGCGGCGCGCAAGCGUCGCGAGGAAAGUCCGGGCUCCGCGGAACGACGGUGCCGGGUAACGCCCGGCGGAGGCGACUCCAGGGAAAGUGCCACAGAGAGCAGACCGCCUCGCAAGGGGCAAGGGUGAAAGGGUGCGGUAAGAGCGCACCGCGCGGCCGGCAACGGCAGCGGCACGGCAAACCCCACCGGGAGCAAGAUCGAAUAGGGGCGGCACAUGGGCUUCGUUCCAGCUCGUCGCCCGGGUUGAUUGCUUGAGACGGCGCGCAAGCGCCGCCCUAGAGGAAUGGUCGCCUAUCCGGCUUCACGCCGGUGGACAGAACCCGGCUUACAGACCCUCUGGCACC
rnacentral:RNase_P_RNA from 1 species